CUAAACUGUUUGGUAACUCUGGCUUCCUGUUAGUUUAAUACACAGCCCCAGUGUGUGUGCUCACGGUGCUGCAUCAUGUACCUGUGAGGGUACAGCACCAGCUUCUGGUGUGUAUCCACGUUGCUGUACCUAUGAAGAUCCUCGCCCGCUACAGGAUAAGCAACUUUCAGUAGUGUUGUAUCACAGUUCGUCACAGGGCGUGGCACUGUUAUGGAGAGGCCACGGGUGUUACAGCCGUGCUGGUGCCGUGGACCGGGGUCAGCGCGGGGACCAACGAAGCCGGGUCUUAACGAACCCGGUGAUGGCAUUGUGAUCCAGAUGACCAGCAGAUGAAGGAUCAGCAGGAGAACUGGAUUAAGACGGACUGCAAGAACGCUGCUUGUGAUGGCUGGAUUCUCCGCUGCCUCAGAUCACCCUGCCUGCAUGAUCACGAUUCAUGAACGCUUUUGUCACAUCCAACUGGAUGCUAGCUCUUGGUCCCCCCUUGAUCACUAUAGCCAAGACAAUGAAAUGGAAAAGUGAUUACGACUUGUCUAGUGUGAUACUGAUA